rnacentral:rRNA from 1 species
GACAGAGGCCUCAAGCGUUAAUCGGAAUUACUGGGCGUAAGCGUGACGUAGACGGUUGCAUAAGUCAGAUGUGAAAGCCCCGGGCUCAACCUGGGAAUUGCAUUUGAGACUGUGUAGCUAGGGUGCGGAAGAGGGAAGCGGAAUUUCCGGUGUAGCGGUGAAAUGCGUAGAUAUCGGAAGGAACACCAGUGGCGAAAGCACUCUGCUGGGCCGACACUGACACUGAGAGACGAAAGCUAGGGGAGCGAAUGGG